rfam:Ictidomys tridecemlineatus contig081216, whole genome shotgun sequence.
GGGGUUGUGGCUCAGUGGUAGAGUGCUCACCUUGCACGUGUAAGAUCCUGGGUUUGAUCCUCAGCACCA